AGCCCUCGUCCUCGUCCAGAACCAGGCAGCAGCUGGGCUUCAGCUCCUCGUCCGACCUGAGAACCAGCGGUGGAAAGUAACUAAUUUUGUGUUUGAGGAGGCUGCUAACAGCAGCACAGGGAGGGAAAGUUUAUCUGCAGUUUCUGCUGACGAGUUGUUUCCCCACCAGGUGACCAGGUGCCUUUGAUGUCACCCAUAGGUUUCCAACAGGACACAAUGUUAAGCCAGGUGGCAGGUGGCAAAUGGGACCUGCAGCUUCAGGCUCCAUGGAAACAGAGAUGGUACCCAUGGAAACAUCAAACAAAGAGGCACUGCUGCCUCCUGUUUCAGGUCAGCUCAGAUCAGCAGACUGAACCUCAUCAGAACUAACAAAACUGCUAAAAAAUUAUGUUUCUAUGGAGGAUAAAAAAAUGACUAAUUCAUCAACAUUGAAAUGAAUACACAAAUAAAUAAAUACAACACAAAUCUA